GGGAGGGGGGGUAGUUUGGGCACGGUGAGUCGGUACCGAGCGGGGGGGGGAGGAGGAGGGGGAAGGAUCCUGUGUGUGUCUCUCUCCCUCUCAGAACAAAAUGCCGACCGGAAGUGCAGCUGCAGGAAUGACUCCCUCCACCGGCGCCAAACACCAACAGCCUCCCCCUUCCCUCUGCUGCUGCUGCUGCCUCCUUCUCGUUCACUCAGCCAGCCAGCCCUGUUUCCGCCACCGCCACUGCGUUCCUCCCCUCCCUGCAACACACAGCAGCUGGAGCUUCUCCGUCUGCCUCGUCUCGCCUCUCGGCUGCCACAGCUGAUGUCCCUCUCCGUCUCUAUCUCUCCUUUUCUCCACCCUUCCUCUGCCUCCGAGUUUCUCUUUCUUUUCCCUUUAUCAUCUAGAUGAAUCCGACUGGAGUUUGGACUUAGGCCUGCGCUAAGCAGAAGGGAACCUGCGAUCUGUGAAGAGGGCACCAUUUGAAAGAAGAUUUUCUUUUAAUGUUGAUGAGAAGGAAGACUUUAAAUGACUGCAAAAUCCUUCCUCGCAUGAGAUACUUGAAAAGGUGCAUUAAAAUGAAUCCCAAAAGAAGGCAAUCUUCCCGUCCCGAAUGACUGCGAUUUAGCAGACCUUGGAAACUUGCUGGAUCUUAUUUUAUUAUUGUUCUUGUCCGUGUGUGUUAAGAUGCUGUUGUAGCCGGAUUUGAAACAUCAGAUGCUGAGAAUGUUGCUGUGUAUGGAUGAGGAUGGUAACCGAACAAUUGAUUUUUAAAAUCAGCCUUCUUGAGCAAGUGCAGAGGAGGGGAGAGACUGCUGUUGAAGUGAAGGCUCCUUGGCUGGAAAUUGAAAUGUUUGUUGCCAGAUUUUCCUAGAAAAGACUUUACUAGGCUAAUUAUGUGUUGUGAAGGAAUCUUUGGCGAAGGCAACAGCCCUAGUCAGAAGGCUUUUCUAUUUUCUGUUCGGGCAUUGUGUGUGAUCAUACCAUAGGAUAGUACGAAGUGUGUGUCCUUCAUUUAUGCUGGGUUAACCGCCUCCUUUUUGCUCACUAUUGAGAUUCCGAUCCUGCAGUCCUUAUUCAGACAAGACUCCAGUUGAUGUCAAUAGGAGUCUUGUUUGGGUAAGGAUUGCAGGAUUGGACCAUACAAUUGGACAGUAAGUACCUGUAAAUGUCGUGGAAUGCAUCCAUUCGGCUAUGGAUAGAGGUAGUUUACACAUGGGAGAAAUGCCUUCCAGAUCAUGACAUUGGUCUUGCAUGCAAUGCAACUGGAUCCUCUCUGACCUCUAUGUGAUGAUUGCUUGAAUAAUACCAGGAUCUGGUGUAACAUAUCCAUUCAAGUUUUCCCUCAUUUUAAGUUCUGUAUGGUGUACUCUAGUAAUGGAUAGAGCACUGGAGUGGGACUCAGGAGACCUGGAUUCUAUUCCUGGCUCUACCACUGGCCUAUUGGGUGACCUUGGGUAACUCACUUCAUCUCAGCUUCCGCAUCUGUAAAAGGAGGAUAAUGAUACUUACCUCCUUUGUAAAACGCUUUGAGAUCUCUAAAUAAAAAGUGAUAUACAAGAGG